ACAAAGAAAGUAGCAAUACUUUUUUGGUGGCGACCGGCGCACGGGUGAGUAACGCGUAUGCAACCUACCUACUACUUUGGGAUAGCUCGUUGAAAGACGAAUUAAUACCUUAUAAUACAGGGACUCCGCAUGGAGAUAUUUGUUAAAGAUUUAUUGGUAGUAGAUGGGCAUGCGUUCCAUUAGCUUGUUGGUGAGGUAACUGCUCACCAAGGCAUCGAUGGAUAGGGGAACUGAGAGGUUUGUCCCCCACACUGGAACUGAGACACGGUCCAGACUCC
rnacentral:rRNA from 1 species